rnacentral:piRNA from 1 species
UGGUUGCCCCUUAUCUGGAUGAAGGA